rnacentral:lncRNA from 1 species
ACUGUUAUGCUCCGUCUGUCUAUAGAGAUCUCAGCAUUACCACACUAGCUUAGAGUUUACUUCCUAAAGGAACUAUGGAGGUUCCAGCACUUCACAAUGUACAAGUUGUCAUUGGUAUGCUGAGACCAACGUUCAGUUUUUUUUAAUCAAGAAUAUAUUAAUACACCUCUUGGGGCCGACGCACAAAGCUUUUGAUACAAAGGUUUAAGUAGAAUGAGCACUUGAUCUAAGACAGCCUAAUCCGCUCGUUAGUCACAUAUUGAAGAAGUUCCUAUUUAGUGUAGAAUAUUGCAGAAUAAUAUAGUAGUAUUCCCAUUUCACAAUGAGAUGGAACCUGGAUAAUGAGAUGAUAAUUAACCUUCCUUUAUUACAUAUAUGGAUGGAGAAGUAGGCGAUGGUAGGAGUAUACAGAAGGUGAAUAAAAC